rnacentral:sRNA from 1 species
AUCAAGGUGAGGACCUCCCUGCCCCGCCGCGCUCCAGGCCCUGCACGGCUGAGCCCGAGAGGACCGGCGCUCAGCCCGGGUCCCCACGCUGCCCCCGGCGCUGCUCUGCGUCGGUCCCGCGCGCUCCCACUCACUCGCCUGCUGUCGCGCUCCGGGCCGGGGCGACUUGGCCCUUCUUGGGCAGCGCGGUCUGGCGCCCCAGCUGUCCGCUGUGCGCCUUUUCCUUAGGUGGGGCACGAGCGUAAGGUCCAGCUGGUCACCGACAGGGAUCACUUCAUCCGAACCCUCAGCCUCAAGCCGCUGCUCUUCGAAAUCCCCGGCUUCCUGACUGAUGAAGAGUGUCGGCUCAUCAUCCAUCUGGCGCAGAUGAAGGGGUUACAGCGCAGCCAGAUCCUGCCUACUGAAGAGUAUGAAGAGGCAAUGAGCACUAUGCAGGUCAGCCAGCUGGACCUCUUCCGGCUGCUGGACCAGAACCGUGAUGGGCAUCUGCAGCUCCGUGAGGUUCUGGCCCAGACUCGCCUGGGAAAUGGAUGGUGGAUGACUCCAGAGAGCAUUCAGGAGAUGUACGCCGCGAUCAAGGCUGACCCUGAUGGUGACGGAGUGCUGAGUCUGCAGGAGUUCUCCAACAUGGACCUUCGGGACUUCCACAAGUACAUGAGGAGCCACAAGGCAGAGUCCAGUGAGCUGGUGCGGAAC